rnacentral:sRNA from 26 species
AUAUUACUUUAAAACAAGUUCCGGAAAACUAUCUUUCUGUCAAGAGACUCACUGCCUGCUCGUUUUACUGGCUUACCUGCUUCAGAUAAGAUUUUAAUAAAAAAGGAGGGCCGGCAUCUCUUUCCAGACGGCCCUGAGCGGAUUGUGACACAACAUGGCACCUUGCCGGCGCUCUCUUAUUGUUUCAUGCGUGUGCCAUCGCUAUGGCGCAAUCAGAGCA